GCUUGCUGUAGAAGCAUGAGGACCUACGUUGGAUUUCCAGCACCACAUAAAAAGCCUGUGGUACAUUACAUGCCUGUAAUCGCAGUACUGGAAGGAUCCCUGAAGACACCUCGUCUCAAAAUCAAGGGUUUCUGUAGGUUUUGGAGCCUCUGCUUCCCAAGUGCUGGGGUUAAAGGCAUGCGUCACCACCGCUGUUGUCCUUUUUCAGAAAUAUUUUGAUUUCUGAUGAGUUCAGUGAACAAACACUUCUCAAGAAUGUGCACUAUAUCAGGAAAAUAAAAACAAACAUCUUGAGGAAUUUAAAGAUCUUUGGACAAAUAAGCAUCCAAAGAAAAAGGGAGAACUACCUGGAAAAAAUUACUGAGAAAAGGAAUAAUCUGGCCUAAUGUCAUCUCUGAAGUCUCCAAAAAGGUGAUGGGAUCUCACAAUGACGAUACCGCCUGGAUUAUAACACCACUAAGCUGAAAAACACCAUUACAGAUAGGCUUUGGAAUACAAACUGCUCAGAACAAUUUCAAGAUGGCUACUUGAGAUGAUCCAGCCUCACAGACUACUCUAGCCAGGACUUGAGACAAGCUCUGUACUUUCCCAUUACAGACUGUACAACAAAAAAGCUACCUCUGUCAGGACUUGACAAUUAACCCAAAUUUUUCUUUUCAAGAUCCCCUAAAGAUGCUGUCACCCCCAGACAGCAGGAAGUAAAUUUAAGAACACAAAGCCCACAUUCCAAAGAGAUGAGGUGGGUGGUUUUUGGUCUUUCAUUGGGUUAUGGGUAUUUGUCAUUGUUUAGGGGAAUUGGUUACAAGUUGUUAUUGGUGAUGGUCAGGAAAAAAAGCUGAACAAAGGAGAUUAGAUUCAGGAGUCCUUUUUUUUUUAAGGGAAAAUACAGAUAUGACAGGAUAAAAGGGUAGAGUAUUGAAUCUACUCUGAAAAGGAAAAAGGGAGGAAUAGAUAUGAUGAUAUAAAAAGAUUGAAUCUACUUUUAAAAAGCAACUACUAGUUUUAAAUAUUUUACAUUGGAUUGGACUUUUGUAUAUUGUAUACAAAUUUUGUUUAUUGAUAUAAAUUUAAGAUUAAUUGCCACAUCCACGGCUGUCUCGCCUGUGUGACAAAAUGCCUCUCAAGUGGUAGCCCUCUCAAAAUGAGGGGCUCGUGCUUCCUGGAACUUGCCCCCCCCCCGCCCCCUCCCCCCCACGGCUCCCUGGCAGUCUGCUUGAGUUGUGGUGCCUGAUCAGCCUCAAUGACUUCGUUCACUUUGUUCCUGGCGAUGGUUUCUUGCGUUGGCUCUGCUAUCUUUUUUUUCUGUUCUACUUUUCUCUUGAUAAAAACUUAAUCUGUUCAAGGAACCAGGAACCAUUCCCAACGGCUCCUUGAAAACGGAGGAACUGAUGCGUCAGUUCCCUCCCUUGAUUCAGGCCAUUAAUGUUAUGAUUAAGACUGUGGCUCGCUCUCUGGGGGAAUUUACAGAUACCCUAGAACAGAAAAAGCUCAUGAUAGGAGAGUUGGUAGAAGAUGGGUAAAUUAUGAAGGAAAAUGUAUGGAAUGGCAUGAGUUACCAUUUAUGGAGAGGCUAGCCAGAAUGAGAAACCCCUGGUGCAUUUUAGAUAGGAAAAAAAAGGCAGGCUAUUCUUGAUAACAUGAAGCCAGCCAUUCAAUAUUGGAGCAAACCCUGGGGGUGGAAUCCUGAAGAAUGGUGUUUGGGUUACUUUGGUUACCUUGAGGGCAGAUAUGAUUUAGGGUCAUGAGAAAGCGCAGUUGGUCAAUGGUGUGAGACGAAUUUCAAAGAAAAGCUCUGCCUACCUGGCCCUGACCAGAAGACAUGCUGAGAAUAAUCAAUUGCCUGUAAUCAUUUUCUUUAUGUAAGCUUUUAUGUCUGUCAACUUCCUUCUGUAAUCUCUUAAAAGUGAUGCUUGAAUUUUAGUAAAACUGCAGCAGAUUCAAACCUCA